AUUCUCUAUACAACGUAUACGCGCGUAUAACAUAUAAUAUGAUAUUAUUGUUCACACUCUGCACGAGCACACACGUGUGUGUGUAACAUUUAAGUACCUAUACACUAUUAUAGUGUUUUGUGCCGAAGCCGCGCGUUACGAUAUCGACGUUCCGUCGACGUGGAUAUUUUUCCGUACACCUUCAGCUGGUACGUGAAACGCCAAACUUUCAAUUCAUUUCAGAGGCCACCUACGAAGGAACAUUUAAUGUAAUAUACAUAUACACUGUGCAUUUUACAAUAUGUAUGUUCAUCGACGUCAUUUACAUAGAGUAUACAUUUUCAAAACGAGGAGCAAACUGUUUGAACGAUAUUUGCAUGACGUACCGGAAAACGUGAAGACAAUAACAAUUUAAUAAUAUAAUAAUUUCAGCGGGCAAUAAAUUUGUUUGAUUUUUACUGAUAAUAUUAAAAUAA